UAGCGAGGGUGGUUGUAUUUAGUACAUUACUGGUAGUCACCGGGAUUCGAAUUCCGAACAAGAAACCGGCUUUUCAGGAUCCGAGCAUCCUACGGAUCCGAAUGUGUGUGCUGCAAUGAUUUGCUCUAAAUUUCUGGGUUUAGUCCCAGUUCGCACGUUGACGAAAGCGGUGUUGGAACUAUCCCAGGACCGUCGGGUUCGUAACCUGGACCGGAGAGAGAAAAUCCUGACCCUGUGUUACUACUGGGUGUGAGAGAUGCUGCUGCAGGCUCCAGCGGGAGUGAUAAAGUACCUUCCCAGCUCAGUGCAAGGAAGAGAAGCGGUCGGUAUGUGGGCCCACAGUGUAAUCUACCGGUGCUUCAACUCCUGAUGCUGCUGCCCUUUUUCGACGGCUAGUGGGAAGUGAAUCGUACUUCGAUGCAGUCGCUCGUGACAAGUGCGAGGAGGUGUUUCUUACAAGUUCUUACGCGAAAGUGACACAUUCCGUUACAUUGUGCUCGUUAAUCAAGUUUCGUGUAAUUAACCGUCACCGUAAGAUAUCAGUUUACGGCAUUGGCAAUUACGAACAACGCCUAUCGCUGGACAGUAUCCUUACCGGGCCAAUACCCACUAGCGUGGGUAAUUUUUCCACUUUGACGUAAGCACGAUGGGCGGAGGGUGAAGAAUUAGUUUAUUAACUUACAAUCGGAGACGACUCACGCACGGCAGGUGGGUGUGGAAAAAAGCACCUGAUAUUGUAAUAAUGAACUCGACACAUUUCGACACGGCGAGGCUGCAAGGUGCAAGGUACUCUUUUCGUGUGUUAAUUUUUCACAGCCACCACCCGUAGGGUGGGGUACGACGCAGACUGUUAUUUCUGUAGCAACAAAACUAUCGCAACGCGAACAGAUGCAUUGAUGUCUAAAAUUAGAACAUUGCAACGUAAACGGAGAAAGUGUUUUUGAAUCAAAUUUCUACGCUAACGAACUAUUUUCGGCCGAUUCGGCAUGGAAAACGAAAACAAGUAGAUGAUGAAAGUUAUUUUUAGCGCGGUUUGAGAAUUCUCGCCAUUUCUUUUGGUUCCCAUUGAUCGUCAAUAUUACCGCGUGAGUCAACGAUCGUGUUAUGCUUUGGUGGAGAGAGAGAGAGAGUGAAAAUAUUCUAUUUCGGAUCGAAAGCAAAAAAAAGAAAAAGAGUAAAACAAACUUGUGCGUUCCGCUGUGAUCCGCGACGAAGAAUUUCGGACCGGGUUGGUGGAAGUGGGCAUGAGAUGCAGACAGCACACGCAAACGCAAGGCGAUCAUCGCCGGACGAAACUUCGAAACGAGGCGAUGCACGAAGGAAACUCAUUCGAUGACGUCAGAACUCUAACCAGCGCGGUUUUCUUUCAACACGAACGGGACGCCUCCCCACCGCUGCUGCUGAAUUGUGCAAGAAGAACGAGGGGAAAAUAACAAGAUACUUAACGGCUUAAUUAACUUUGCCGAUUGGCUGGAGAGGCGUGCGGAGGCGAUUGAUUGAGUUCGGCUGUUAUCAUCAUAUACAGUGACAGAUUGCGGCUCAUUUAAAGCAGGUAAAAAUAACAGAGGAGUUUCUUGCGGCUUCGCAAUCCUCUGAGUAAACUAACAGUUGAUGAAAAAUUAUGGUAAAAAAAACAAAAAAAAAAAAACAUUGCAAAAUAAAGGAGCACAAUUGGCGGGUAAUUAUAACCAUCGUAUCACAAACGAAUACCUUAAAAGAGCGAUUCUAUAUUUGGGUAAAUGAAAGCUUAGAAGUUUUAAAAGAUGCACUUUUUCGUACAAACACUGGAUUCCUUUUUAGCAUAUUAUGCUAUUACUUACGAAGCCAUAUAAAAUAAAAUAGCAAAACAGGCUGUAUGUUGUGAAUCCGUUCAAUCAAGAUAAGCAUCCUGGUUGAGGCAAUCAUCGUUCCACGUAAGACAUCAGGCUUGCAGGUACGAAUACAAAUUCGUUACUCAAAUUGUACGUAUGUUUUCUGCAUACCACAUUUCUGUCGC